GAGUUUGAUCGUGGCUCAGGAUGAACGCUGGCGGCGUGCCUAAUACAUGCAAGUCGAGCGAACGGACGAGAAGCUUGCUUCUCUGAUGUUAGCGGCGGACGGGUGAGUAACACGUGGAUAACCUACCUAUAAGACUGGGAUAACUUCGGGAAACCGGAGCUAAUACCGGAUAAUAUUUUGAACCGCAAUGGUUCAAAAGUGAAAGACGGUCUUGCUGUCACUUAUAGAUGGAUCCGCGCUGCAUUAGCUAGUUGGUAAGGUAACGGCUUACCAAGGCAACGAUGCAUAGCCGACCUGAGAGGGUGAUCGGCCACACUGGAACUGAGACACGGUCCAGACUCCUACGGGAGGCAGCAGUAGGGAAUCUUCCGCAAUGGGCGAAAGCCUGACGGAGCAACGCCGCGUGAGUGAUGAAGGUCUUCGGAUCGUAAAACUCUGUUAUUAGGGAAGAACAUAUGUGUAAGUAACUGUGCACAUCUUGACGGUACCUAAUCAGAAGGCCACGGCUAACUACGUCG
rnacentral:rRNA from 1 species